GAGAAAACCAGCAUGCAAAUUAAAAUUUUAAAGCCUACUCCAGAUCCUUCGAGUCAUGCAUUUUGACAGCCUGCUGCUCCAAGUCCAAAUCCCACAGCUACUGCUAGCUAAUUGGGUUGUAACUGACUGGUGUUCCCUGCCCUACCUGUGAACUUUGGGACCCCACCCCCCAGUCUGAUGUCCCCUGUGCCCGAGAAACAUGAUCCAGAGAUGUCCUUCAUGGAUUAAGUCAUUGAAGAUGACUUACACAAACAGUUUUAAAGCUUCAAAAUUUAUUGCUGUACAUUUUCUCAUAGCAUUUACUAUGGAAAUACUAAUAGUGCAAAUAUUUAUUUUGGACUUCAUAGCAUUUGAGAAAUCACAAAGCUUGUUUAUAUCUUUGCAAUUAUUUAUGAAGAUCUAUAUUAUUUUAAAAAUCCAAACGAGUAAUCUUAUAUUCAAAGAGAUUGUAUAACACUCUCUAGAUCUCCUCUUUAGACCAAAAAAAAAAAAAAAAACACCCUGGAAGCCACCAAGGGCAUUUCUUUCCUUUAUAAUACAUACAGCUUCUAACACUUUUCCAACUGCAUGACUCUUGUUCAUUCACAGAUUCAUUCAACAAAUAUUUAAUGACAAGCUAUUACGUGCCAGGCACUGGGCUAGGCUCGGGGAACAUGAGGAUGAAAAAGCACAAUCUCUGCUUUUACGGUGCUUACAGUCUAAUAGUAGAAACAGACAUGCAAAAAAAAAUUACAAUACAAUACAAUAAAGUGCUUCCAUGGAGGUAUUUACAAAGUGCGGUGGGAACAGGGAAGGCGGGAAAGAACAUCUGCCUGAAGAAAUCAGGGACAGCUUCACAGAGGAGGUAGCCAUUGAGCUGAGACUUCAUCAAUGAUUAGGAAUUCACCAUGUAGACGGGCAGGCAAAGGGUGUUUCAGGCAAAGGGAACAACAGGUACAAAGACACAGAGGCCCAAGGGGCACUUCAAAGAAGCAAGUAAAGAGGUUUUUCUUGAGCUGAAGGUGCAGUGAGGAAUAGUGGCAGCAUGAGGCCAGACAGACAAGCAGGGAUCAGAUCAAGAAGAGCCUUUUGACCAUUCUUCCAUUUAUUCAGCAAACAGUUACUGAGUGCUUACUAGGUGCCAGUCACUCAGCUAAGUGCUGGGGCAGAAAAUAGUGUCACAGGGAUAGGCGGUAGUUAGGGUUAUUAGCAAAUGCCUCUUGGAAAGGAUGUAAAACUCACACCUGCAGGGAUAGCGACAAUAGUGUGCUCCAAUGUGAGCACCCACUAUGUGCCAGGCACUGUGCUACACACUUUA
rnacentral:lncRNA from 10 species